AUUGAACGCUGGCGGCAUGCCUAACACAUGCAAGUCGAGCGGAGCGGCGGACGGGUGAGUAAUGCCUAGGAAUCUGACUGGUCGUGGGGGAUAACGUCCGGAAACGGGCGCUACUACCGCAUACGAUCAGAUUAGCCUAGGUCGGAUGAGCUAGUGUGUGGGGUACAGGCCUACCAAGGCGACGAUCCGUAACUGGUCUGAGAGGAUGAGCAGUCACACUGGAACUGAGACCCGGUCCAGACGCCUACGGGAGGCAGCAGUGGGGAAUAUUGGACAAUGGGCGAAAGCCUGAUCCAGCCAUGCCGCGUGUGUGAAGAAGGUCUUCGGAUUGUAAAGCACUUUAAGUUGGGAGGCGUUACCAACAGAAUAAGCACCGGCUAACUUCGUGCCAGCAGCCGCGGUAAUUC
rnacentral:rRNA from 1 species